CGAUAUUCGACGAGUUUGAUCAUGGCUCAGGAUGAACGCUAGCGGCAGGCCUAAUACAUGCAAGUCAAGGGGCUCGCAAGAGCACCGGCGGACGGGUGCGUAACGCGUACAGAACGUGCCUUUGGGCGGGGGAUAGCAUUGGGAAACUGGUGGUAAUACCCCAUGGUAUUUCGGGUUGGCAUCGACCUGGAAUUAAAGUUUCGGCGCCCAAAGAUCGCUGUGCGUCCGAUUAGCUAGUUGGCGGGGUAACGGCCCACCAAGGCGACGAUCGGUAGGGGGUGUGAGAGCAUGACCCCCCACACGGGUACUGAGACACGGACCCGACUCCUACGGGAGGCAGCAGUAAGGAAUAUUGGACAAUGGGCGGAAGCCUGAUCCAGCCAUGCCGCGUGAAGGAAGAAGGCGCUCAGCGUUGUAAACUUCUUUUGGACGGGAACAAAGGCAUCACUGCGGUGGUGUUUGAGGGUACUGUCAGAAUAAGCACCGGCUAACUCCGUG
rnacentral:rRNA from 1 species